UAACUGGCCUCCUUUUUCAGCUGCUUUUUAAGGUCCUGGGUUUAUCUCUCCACCUACUUUCCCUAAUUGUCCUUCACUAGCUUCAGCUGCUACAAACUGAAUUCUUGGUGCAAAAAUUGUUUGCGCUUGAUUCAGCAAAGGGGAGAAGACUUCAUUAUCUCAACCUCUAAAGUGUCCUUGGAUACUGUUGUUUUAGGCAGUACAUAAAAUAAUUUAGUUUUGCAGUUUGUUGAUUAUGUGCUUUUAGCCAUGUUGUAACCCACCACAAGGAGAGGCGGGAUUCUGAAGAAAAAUGUUUGACCAUGACUGCCUGGCAGCCGCUCAAAAAGUGUGGAAAUUAAUUGUCCUUAUUUUCACACAUGAUUUUCACACAUACUGUUAAUUCUCAAAUAAAUAUGUGAAGUAUUAUUAUUACACAUCAAGAAUUAAGCAAUCAUCUCAACAGAACUCGUAGCUAGGGAAAAGAAGUUUUUUCUGAGAAGGCAGGAUGCAGAAAACAAUUGCUUGCAUGUGAGCUAGUUUAAGGAUAAACAUGGAAUUGCAUUCAUUGCUAAAUCUUUGGUUACAAUGGGAGAUAGUGGUCUUGAAAAACAUUGCAAAGAGAUAGCUUGGCUCCUCAAAAAGAAACAGCAGUUGAAAAUAGAGUUGCUGAGUCAAAAGGCUUUUUUUGGAGGGGAGAUUAAACUACACUGUUUCGACAUUCCUUCAAUUUAUUUGUAAAUGCAACAGUCAAAAUGCAACCUAGCUAUCUCUUCAGUGUUUGCCAUUGCUUAUCCCAGAAGAUGUACUUGUGAUAAGAUUCCAAAUAAAAAUGUAUCAUUUUAAACUUUGAAA